CAAUUGAGAAUGGGUCAGUGAGAAAUUUUGGGCAUGAAUUAACAGAAUUAAACUGUUUGUCAUCAAAAGGUGAGUGUACAAAAUCAGGAGUAUAUUUGCGUAAAAAAUCAUUGACCCAUGAUAUAUCUUUAAAAUGAUUUUGACGAUGUUUUGAAUUUAGUUUUCUCAUAUUUUGCCAAACAGUGGAAAUUGGUGUUAAUCUAUUAAAUUUGGAACAAAAUUCCUGCCACCCCUGUUGUCUUACUUGCUUAAUUACUAACUUUUUAACAGCUUGAACUCUUUUAAAAUUUAUGUAAUUAUCGAGAGUUGGAUUUUGUUUAAACCUAAGGUAAGCCGCUUUACUAUCAUUGACAGCUGUCGCACACCUGUUAUUCCACCAAGGUACUGCAAUAUGUUUGUGCCUCUUUGAAGUAUUUGCACCGCUAUUUGAUAAGUUCCUACGUGGAACGGAACGUUCCACAGCUGUCAAAAUAAUUUUACAGAACCUAUUGUAAUUGUUUAAGGGUUCAUUGACAUCAUACUCGAAAUCCAAAAGUAAUCGAUUAACAGUUUCAGAAUAAAGAUCCCAAUUAACGAGACGUAGGUUUAUACGAUUUAACAAAAGUUUAUUAACUUCAUCUAUAGGAGCAUGUUGUUCACCUGACGGAGUUGAUGAAGAGUUCUUUGUGUUUAUUUUAGUAAAAGUCGGCAGGUGAUAACUUCCUAACGGAUCAUCAUGAACCGACCACUCGCAUUUUAAUGAUAUGGAUGGGGAUACCAUAGUUAAAUCAAGGCCAUUGGGUCUCCAAAUAUGAGAGCCAACAGUAAUGCUGCAACGCUCAGAAUUCUUACAGAAUUUAGCUAAAUGUCCAUACCUCAAGCACCGGUAGCAUUGUUUAACUGGUGGUAUAUAUGGAGUGACAUUGUGGCGCCAACCUCCAAUAUCCAGAUAUUCAGGUAAUACAGAUGCAGCAAAAGUAAUUGUCACGGUUAGAGUUGGCUGUAACACAUAUCCAUGAGUCAAGGUAUUUUUUCUUAAAAUUCUUUUAAUAGCAAUAAUUUUCUUAGAACUCGAUAUCAUAGUAUAUAUUUUUUUAUUAGAUAUAUUUGUAGGUACAUUUCUAAUAACGCCUGUAACUUCUGUUGAAGAAGCAGGAAUACUGGCCUUAAAAUGGUAGUCAUUUAAAAAAGUUUUAUUAUUUAAAAAAGCAUUGGCUAAGUCUGGCUUUUGAAAGUAUACUCCGAUUUUGAAUUUAUUUAUAGAUCUAAGAUAAGUUACCCCUUUAUUAAAUCGUUUUAAACAGGAGGAGAGUGAGAGCAAGUCUCUGGAUCCAAUGGUUUUCUGACUAUCUGAGGAUUCUACAAAGACAACAAAUUCUGUCCCAGGGGAUUCCUCGGGAUAUCUUCUAAUAUAAUCUGUGACGUAGUAAGGUUUAUACUUAUCGGCCUUAUCAAUUUCAGAUUCUGAGUCAGUAGAAGUAUCUUCCGAAUAUAUAUCCUUGUCAUUACAAGGUUCAUGGUCUACAUCACCUGAAUCGUCAUCUUUUUUUUUCCUUUUUCUACAACUGCGCUUCCCCAUGAAUGCUAAUUAUAUUACUGUCGCUGAAUUUAGUGAGAAUAUAAUAUUUUAUUCAAUAAUAAGAAUUGAUAGAGAUAGUUUUAAUAAAUUAAUAAAAAAAAUUUAAAAAA